UGGGGAAUAUUGCACAAUGGGCGCAAGCCUGAUGCAGACAUGCCGCGUGUGUGAAGAAGGCCUUCGGGUUGUAAAGCACUUUCAGCGGGGAGGAAGGCGUUAAGGUUAAUAACCUUGGCGAUUGACGUUACCCGCAGAAGAAGCACCGGCUAACUCCGUGCCAGCAGCCGCGGUAAUACGGAGGGUGCAAGCGUUAAUCGGAAUUACUGGGCGUAAAGCGCACGCAGGCGGUCUGUCAAGUCAGAUGUGAAAUCCCCGGGCUCAACCUGGGAACUGCAUCUGAUACUGGCAAGCUUGAGUCUCGUAGAGGGGGGUAGAAUUCCAGGUGUAGCGGUGAAAUGCGUAGAGAUCUGGAGGAAUACCGGUGGCGAAGGCGGCCCCCUGGACGAAGACUGACGCUCAGGUGCGAAAGCGUGGGGAGCAAACAGG
rnacentral:rRNA from 1 species